AAACAUAGCCCCUAGACCCCUAUUAGAGGUGACGCCUGCCCGAUGGUUUAUCCUAAGUUAAUUAACAUUAACGAACCUGAACUCAAUGGCCGCGGUAUUUCUGACCGUGAUAAUGUAGCGAAAUCAAUCGUCACUUAAUUGCUGACCUGUAUCAAAGGUAUUACGAAUGUUCCCCUGUCUCAAGAAAAAUCCCUGUGAAAUUGAAGGGGCCGUGCAUAUGCGGCCUAUUUUCCUGUAAGACGAAAAGACCCUAUUGAGCUUUACUAUAACCUUUCCUCAAAACACUAAGAAAAUGAGUAGCCCUCUAAUCUUAGUACUAGGAAAGGCUGGUAGUUUCGUUGGGGCGACGACCUUUCAAAAAGUAACAAAGGUUAGCGAUGGUUUUCUAUUUAAUGAAUCUUAGCCUGACUGUUUGGCUUAUAAGCCUACCAGACACUUUCGUGAGCCAUAAUUUUCCAUUUUAGGGGCAACCCUAAAAUGCCAUAAUAUAAAAGUUACCAUAGGGAUAACAGCGUAAUUUUGUCGAAGAGCUCUUAUCGAUGACAAAGAUUGCGAC
rnacentral:rRNA from 1 species